rnacentral:tRNA from 2 species
CGGGGUGUGGCUUAGCUUGGUAGAGCGCCUGGUUUGGGACCAGGAGGUCGCAGGUUCGAAUCCUGUCACCCCGA